CGCACGGGCGUGGGCGUUUGCAGCUUGGGUCCCCAGAUCCUGGCCGGUGAGUGGCGCCUCGGAGGGUGGCGAAGGCUGGAACCCGCGUGACUGGCAGGCUGAUAGCAGACGUCUUGCAAAAACCCUUGAAAGUGCUUCAAACGAAGCUGCUUAGUAGGCUCAGAGGGUGUGUACCCACGUCAUUUAGUGACGAAAGCAUCCGCCCCUAGAGCCCCUCGCUUCCCCUAACGAUGGCCCCCAAGCCAGAGCCAAGGGUCCGCGGGACAAAACCCAAAGGAGUUCGCUGAGGAAGACUAGGGAUACCAUCUUAAAGACCUGACUGUCUCCCCUCAGCCUGGCACCUGACCAGAUUGCCCUGAGCUCGCAGUAAAUGGUGAAUCAAAGCCUGGCUGUCUGCUGACCCAUCAGAAGACGGGGAAGGUGGAGGUUCACAGAGGUGAAGCCGCUGGCUUGUAAAAUGAAACUGGGGGUUGUGGCCCACAAGAGCCAGAAGGCUGUGCCAGAGGCUUCCCAGCUUGGCCUGAAGCCAUGCAGCACGCAGGACAGCCCCUGCCCCAGUGAACCCCAACACCCAGGAUCGUGACCAAGUCAGGAACAGAGGGUGUGUCUUUCCCAAGGCCACACAGCAUGGCGCGAACAGCAGAAUUAGAAUCCAGCAGCUGAAGCUCUGGCCCAACCUUUUGUUCUAACUCAGGUAGACACUCAGUCCAGCCCACCUCCACUCUGCAAACCAGUUCUGGAAUUUGGGUGGGGCAUGACCCAAAGGAUUCACCCCUGGAGAUGAGUCACCAUGACCUUAUGACCUUCACCUUUCCCCCUUCCCACACCAAGGCCAGGGCUCCUCAAGGAUCUAGAACUUGCUGUGUAGACCAGGCCUUGAACUCAAGGAGAUUCACCAGCUUCGGCCUCCAAUGCGACUCUACUUCCUCCACACUUUACUUCCUUGUUUUGUUCAGACCCCGGACUUUUCUUGCUCCAAUCUCCAUGCUGUUUCCUGCGUAACUAGAUUGUCCCAGCCCUUUCUCCACCCAGCAGCCAGAGGCUUCCUGAAAACGUGAACCAGAACAAGGCCACCCAUGCUCUUCUUAAAGCUCUUUGAUGGGCCCACAAGAAGGCUCACUAGGGAAAGGCCCUUGUUACCAAUCCCAGUGGCCUGAAUUUGACCUGAGGGGCUCACAGGGUGAAGGGAGAGGACCAACCGAUUCCUUUAAGCUGUCCCUUAGCGUCCACACGUGCACCAAGGCACACAUGCAAGCCCCAAGAGA